CUUGUAAGCUAGGGGAGGGCGUUCUUUAGGUAGGGGACGUUUGUUAGAUCGUUUACGUUACGAGUUCAAGCGUCCAUGUUUCUUAUUUAAGGGGGGACGUUAAGGGGUGAGGGCAUGUUUAAGAGUGGGCUUAAAUAAGCGGAUAGGGUUGAAGUAAUGUAUCCUGGAAAAUCUCAUAGUAAGCCACAACAAACAAAAUAGGAAGAAAAGGACUCGCUGGCCUCUAUAAAAACUAGAUAAAAUCGACGGCUAUGGCUACCGUCGGGAAGGUGCUUGAGGGCGAGAAUUUUUUUUUUCUAGGUCAAACCUGUUCGCUCUAGUUUCUCUUAAUUGCGCGCAUAUAUAUUAGAGAUGUAUAUAGGAAAUACCCAAUGUAGUUAUGAACACAAUUUGAUUCUGCAUUUAGGAACGCAUCACACUGCCAUCUGAGCCUCGACAUGUUCCUAGUAUUUAAAAAAGUUCUUAUAAAAAAUGACUGACUAUUAGUGCACAAAUUAACGAACAUUGAUGUCUGUGGUGUAAGUUACGGAAAUAAAUAAAUAAAUGUUCGAGCCACCCUAAAUCAUUUGAAUAGAAAUUGAAAACAAGCACACUUAGGCUAAAGGCAAGGCGAAAUUCCAGAGAAAAUAAAAUCGAGUCAGUAACUCAGCUGGCUGGAAUGGACUGGAACAUGUUAUCUCAAAUAUCAAAUGGUCCCUUGGUUACGUUGGUUGACCGGAAUUGCGUGUUACGAUUAUCAGUUUUUACAAGUGCGCGUGAGAAUUGAACUUUCAUACCUUCUCUCUUGAGUAAUACUCUUUCCGCUCUUGCUUCCGACAGACGUGUAAUUAAAAGUCAAUAUCCCACAUGGAAGUGUUCGUGACAAUAGGAGGCCAUUCAAGAGUAAUCCCGGAAGAAUUUGUGUCAUUUAUAGUUUGUAAUUUAUCAAUACAAACUUCGCAAAUUGACAAAAAUACGAUUCUCGUAUCAAUGUUGAUAGAAACUUAGCAUUUGGUUGGUAUUCUAUCACAAUUAUUAUUUUUUUAACUGGGACAGUUCAGUUCAAUUUAUCUAACUUGGCCAACUUUAAAAGGGUCGAUUCUACAAAAUUAACCUAUGAUUUUACAAUGGGAUCACUUUCCUCAUAUUAAAAAAAGGUUUUCGCUUGUCAAAUAUUGAUUUCAGAAUAAGAGACGGGAAGGAUUGUGUGGAAAUUUCUUGAGUUGUUUUUCUGAUUGUCCUAGCCUAUUGCAGUGGGGUAGUUUCUUUUACCCGGACAGGCGUUUCCGUGUUGUCAGUGGUCAUGUAGACGUGUUAUUAGGACAUAGUGUGUUUUAACAACCUAUAAAAACAGCUCGACGCGCUAGACGAGACACUAAGACAGACGAGUCGCUGAUUCUCAAAUCACCAGCCUGACAUAAACAAGAUGAAGUUCUCAGUUUUCCUCUGUCUCGUUGGACUGGCCCUCGUGGUCCACGAGGCCCGUGAGGCUCAAGCCAAGCCUUCCUAUCAAGGAUGUAUGGAGGGUUGCGAAGAGCUCUACUACAUGUGCCGUCAGUUCUGCCACGGUCACCAGUGCCGUGGGUGCACUUUAUUCGCCUCGCACUGUCGUCAAAAUUGUAACACGAAGUAGACACGAUGCAAGCCCGAACAUUACACGAAGAUUACGUCAUAUACGGGACCUUUGCCAUAUAUUUUCUCAGAUGUACCUCGCUCCGUUAGAUAUGUCCUAGGUGUAUGUUAUGAUAUCCUGUUACUAGUAUAGCUGCACGUUAGUAAUGUGAUAUAAAUAAAGUUGGCAGUGAAGCUA